rnacentral:rRNA from 1 species
CGCAUCUGUGCAUGCAGCAUAUCAAUAAGCGGAGGAAAAGAAACUAACAAGGAUUCCCCUAGUAACGGCGAGUGUAAGCGGGAAGAGCUCAAAUUUGAAAUCUUAAAGGGUUUCCCUUUACGAAUUGUAGUUUAAAGAAGUGUUUUCUGUUGAGGUUUUGGUAAAAGUUCUUUGGAAUAGGACAUCAUAGAGGGUGAGAAUCCCGUAUUUGACCUUUACUUUCAACUUUGUGAUACACUUUCAAAGAGUCGGAUUGUUUGGGAAUGCAGUCCAAAAUGGGUGGUAAAUUUCAUCUAAAGCUAAAUAUUGGCGAGAGACCGAUAGCGAACAAGUACCGUGAGGGAAAGAUGAAAAGAACUUUGAAAAGAGAGUUAAACAGUACGUGAAAUUGUCAAAGGGGAAGCGUUUGACACCAGUGUUGUUUUUCUGAAAAUCAAUUAAAGAACUGUUUAUGCUAAGUUGUUUAGACUUUAUCAGCUAACUGUUUAGUUUUGAGCUUUUCUUUAAUGCACUUUUCAGUUAACAAGUCAACAUCAAUUUCUUUUGCUGUAAAAAAGCUUGAGGAAGGUGGCUUGAGAUUCGUCUUAAGUGUUUAUAGCCUCUUGCCUAUGCAGUCGGAGAGAUUGAGGUCUGCAGCGUAGAUCCUUCGGGGCUAAAUGCAUUUGUGCUAAGUUAUAGCAUUUUAUAGACAACUUGUUGACUAUGAUUUGUCUUGUAGCUUACUCGCUUAUGUUAUUUUACCUACGCUUAGGAUGUUGAACGCGCACAGAGUCUC